rnacentral:lncRNA from 1 species
UCUAUCUGCCUACAUACAUAAUUGCAUACACACUAUAACACUGGAGGAAUUUGCAUUUUGCAGCACAUUCUUUGUUCUUAAAUCUUUUAACACACUGAGUUGCUCCUUUGAAGAAAAUGUUAUUGAACCACAUGUUUAAGGAAAAGAGGCUUCUAAACUAUAUGUUUAAGCAAUGAAAUUGUUGAGUGAAAUACAGAUUUCUUUGUAUCUCACACAAACCUUGCCACACGCCAAUCUUAACCUACACAUCGAACUGCCUUUUUUUUUUUCUUUCUUUUUUUUUUCUUUUUUUUUUUUCCUCCCAGUUAGAAGGCAGAAAUAUGUGAACUGCUGAGAGAGGGCCUGCCUCAGCGAUGCCAUAAAUAGAGAUUGAGCUAUCAGGAGGAAAAAAAAAAAAAAGGAGAAAGAAUAAAAUAAAAGCAAAAACCCUGGACAGGAAUAGAGACAGACAGAUAAAUGUAUAACUGCAUCUGAACAAUGUUACGUGGCACAUUAGGAGUUGAAGCAAUCAAAGGGUUGAAAGAUUGAUUCGGCAUGUAGAUUGGAUUUAAUUCGAAGCAGCUUUGUUCUAAUGAGGACUACUGGGAUACAAAGACGGCAGCCGCUUAUGGCCACCAGUUGGGAACUUCGACUCGCUGCAGCAACCUGUCAAGAAUUCCAAGAAACUGCCAGAUGUGAUGGGACCUUUCUGCAUAGGGAGGUGUUUAUCCCUAGGGAGAAUUACAGCUCUGUGAGAGCUUGGAAGCUCCUGUCCUGGCUGGGUGACCCAGCAGAACUGCUGGACCCGUCCUGCUUCCAGCCUGCAACGUCCAACAAAACAUUCUUGGGAUGA